rnacentral:rRNA from 1 species
AUUGAACGCUGGCGGCAGGCCUAACACAUGCAAGUCGAGCGGUAACAGGGGGUGCUUGCACCCCGCUGACGAGCGGCGGACGGGUGAGUAAUGCAUAGGAAUCUGCCCGAUAGUGGGGGAUAACCUGGGGAAACCCAGGCUAAUACCGCAUACGUCCUACGGGAGAAAGGGGGCUUCGGCUCCCGCUAUCGGAUGAGCCUAUGUCGGAUUAGCUGGUUGGUGAGGUAAAGGCUCACCAAGGCGACGAUCCGUAGCUGGUCUGAGAGGAUGAUCAGCCACAUCGGGACUGAGACACGGCCCGAACUCCUACGGGAGGCAGCAGUGGGGAAUAUUGGACAAUGGGGGCAACCCUGAUCCAGCCAUGCCGCGUGUGUGAAGAAGGCCCUCGGGUUGUAAAGCACUUUCAGUGAGGAAGAACGCCUGGUGGUUAAUACCCAUCAGGAAAGACAUCACUCACAGAAGAAGCACCGGCUAACUCCGUGCCAGCAGCCGCGGUAAUACGGAGGGUGCGAGCGUUAAUCGGAAUUACUGGGCGUAAAGCGCGCGUAGGUGGCUUGAUAAGCCGGUUGUGAAAGCCCCGGGCUCAACCUGGGAACGGCAUCCGGAACUGUCAAGCUAGAGUGCAGGAGAGGAAGGUAGAAUUCCCGGUGUAGCGGUGAAAUGCGUAGAGAUCGGGAGGAAUACCAGUGGCGAAGGCGGCCUUCUGGACUGACACUGACACUGAGGUGCGAAAGCGUGGGUAGCAAACA